GAUGAAGAACGUAGCGAAAUGCGAUACUUGGUGUGAAUUGCAGAAUCCCGUGAACCAUCGAGUCUUUGAACGCAAGUUGCGCCCGAAGCCAUCAGGUUGAGGGCACGUCUGCCUGGGCGUCACAUAUCGUUGCCCAAUGCCUAUUGCAGUGCAAUAGGAAUUUCUAGGGCGAAUGAUGGCUUCCCGUGAGCGUUGUUGCCUCGCGGUUGGUUGAAAAUCGAGUCCUUGGUAGGGUGUGCCAUGGUAGAUGGUGGUCGAGUUAGAACGAUACCGAUCAUGUGCAUGCUCCCCAAAAUAUGGCCUCUAUGACCCACACGCGUCUUUUGACGCUCAUGACGAGACCUCCGGUCAGGCGGGGCUACCCGCUGAAUUUAAGCAUAUCAAUAAGCGGAGGA
rnacentral:misc_RNA from 1 species